rnacentral:tRNA from 1 species
GAGGAUAUAGCUCAGUGGUAAAGCAUGUGCUUAGUAUGCAUGAGGUCCUGGGUUCAGCCCCCAGUACCUCA